AAAUUUGUGUUUUAGAAUUUUAACAGAACCAAAAUUAUGGGCUCGCCGCUUUUUUUUUAUAACUUUUAUCACGUUACUAUGUCUAUUUUCAUUGAUGAAUAGGGCUGAAGCUAAUCAAUUUAAAAUUGUGGGAGGUUUCGAAGUCAAUACCUCGGAUGCUCCAUAUAUGGCAUCAUUGCGUUAUGUACACGAAGAGGCUGAUGCACUGGGCAGUGGACAUUUUUGUGGUGGGACUAUUAUUAAAGAUCGUGUAAUUAUUACAGCAGCUCAUUGCAUAUUUAGAAAGAACCAAACUGAUGUAUCGGUUGUAGUGGGAUCCAAGUAUCUUUUCCACAGUUGGCCGACAACGAAGAAGCUGAAAGUCUCAUAUUGGACCUAUCCUGUAAAGUAUGUAAGGCAAAAAGUACAACCUACGAUAUUGGAGUGAUAGUCACAAUUGAAAAUAUAGAACCCGUUAAUGGGGCGAUCGCAUUUCUGCCCCUUAACACGGUGGAAAUAAGCCCUGGUACUAAAUGUCUAUUGUCUGGAUGGGGUCGAGUUGAGCACGAUGAAUUCAAUACUUCAAACAGUCUGCAGGCAACGUGGCAAAGGCUUCUAGACAAAAAGGCAUGUUUUAAGGUAAUUCGUCUGUAUAACAUAUUAUGCUCCGACUCAGGGGGUUCGACUGGAGCCGGUCUUGGUGAUACAGGUGGUCCGUUGCGAUGCAACGAUAAACUUGCGGGUGUUAUCUUCGCCACAAACUUCAAAGGUAGCGUCUUAUAUGUAGAUGUCCGGACAUUUGCCGAUUGGAUAGAAGAACAGAUUAGGAAUAAUGGAAUAAUGCCACUUGGCUCGUUUUGCAUUGAGAAGCACGUUGUUUUGGCCAUCAGCAUUUGUGUGGCCACCAUUUGCAAGCCGGGCAUUCUAGACUUUUCGUCGUACUCAAACUAAGCCGAGUUAUUUCCGAUGAGUCCGUAGGUUUUUAUUAUUUUAUUAUUUUAUUUCAUUAAAGAUUCCAAAUUUCCUCUGAUAUUGAUGAUGAUGUUAUUGUAUUUACAUCUCAGCCAUACAAUAUCCAUUUUAUGAUCUCUAAAUAUCUGUAAAAAUAUGUACUCUUUCAAAUUCAAUAACACUUUCAAAAUCAUAAAUGAAAUGAAUAAACGG
rnacentral:sRNA from 1 species